rnacentral:rRNA from 1 species
AUUGAACGCUGGCGGCAUGCCUUACACAUGCAAGUCGAACGGUAACGCGGGGCAACCUGGCGACGAGUGGCGAACGGGUGAGUAAUGCAUCGGAACGUGCCCAGUAGUGGGGGGAUAGCCCGGCGAAAGCCGGAUUAAUACCGCAUACGACCUACGGGUGAAAGGGGGGGAUCGCAAGACCUCUCGCUAUUGGAGCGGCCGAUGUCAGAUUAGGUAGUUGGUGGGGUAAAGGCCUACCAAGCCGACGAUCUGUAGCUGGUCUGAGAGGACGACCAGCCACACUGGGACUGAGACACGGCCCAGACUCCUACGGGAGGCAGCAGUGGGGAAUUUUGGACAAUGGGCGCAAGCCUGAUCCAGCCAUGCCGCGUGCGGGAAGAAGGGCCUUCGGGUU